rnacentral:rRNA from 1 species
GACGAACGCUGGCGGCGUGCUUAACACAUGCAAGUCGAACGGAAAGGCCCUGCUUUUGUGGGGUGCUCGAGUGGCGAACGGGUGAGUAACACGUGAGUAACCUGCCCUUGACUUUGGGAUAACUUCAGGAAACUGGGGCUAAUACCGGAUAGGAGCUCCUGCUGCAUGGUGGGGGUUGGAAAGUUUCGGCGGUUGGGGAUGGACUCGCGGCUUAUCAGCUUGUUGGUGGGGUAGUGGCUUACCAAGGCUUUGACGGGUAGCCGGCCUGAGAGGGUGACCGGCAAAGGGGGGACUGGGAAACGGCCCAGACCCCUAGGGGGGGGAGGGGGGGGGAAUAUUGCACAAGGGGGGGAAGCGUGAUGCGGAAACGCCGGGGGCGGGAUGAGGGCCUUGGGGUGGAAAACCGCUUCCCCGUGUGACGAAGCGUGAGGGGAGGAAAUGGGUAAAGGAACACCGCCGAACUACGU